rnacentral:rRNA from 1 species
GACGAACGCUGGCGGCGUGCUUAACACAUGCAAGUCGAACGAGUGGCGAACGGGUGAGUAACACGUGGGUGACCUGCCCUGCACUUCGGGAUAAGCCUGGGAAACUGGGUCUAAUACCGGGUAGUGUGGGAUGGGCCCGCGGCCUAUCAGCGUGGUGGUGGGGUAAUGGCUACCAAGGCGCGACGGGUAGCCGGCCUGAGAGGGUGGACGGCCACAUUGGGACUGAGACACGGCCCAGACUCCAACGGGAGGCAGCAGUGGGGAAGUUUGGACAAUGGGAGCAAGCCUGAUCCAGCCAUGCGGCGUGUCUGAAGAAGGCCUUCGGGUGGUAAAGGACUUGUGUUAGGGAGACGGUACCUAAAGAAUAAGCACCGGCUAACUACGUGCCAGCAGCCGCGGUAAUAC